CAACACUGAUAUAAAUUAA
rnacentral:misc_RNA from 1 species